GGCGGACGGGUGAGUAACGUGUGAGGAACCUGCCUUGAAGAGGGGGACAACAGUUGGAAACGACUGCUAAUACCGCAUGACGCAUAGAGGUCGCAUGAUCUUUAUGCCAAAGAUUUAUCGCUUCAAGAUGGCCUCGCGUCUGAUUAGCUGGUUGGCGGGGUAACGGCCCACCAAGGCAACGAUCAGUAGCCGGACUGAGAGGUUGAACGGCCACAUUGGGACUGAGAUACGGCCCAGACUCCUACGGGAGGCAGCAGUGGGGAAUAUUGGGCAAUGGGCGCAAGCCUGACCCAGCAACGCCGCGUGAAGGAAGAAGGCUUUCGGGUUGUAAACUUCUUUUAAGAGGGAAGAGCAGAAGACGGUACCUCUAGAAUAAGCCACGGCUAACUACGUGCCAGCAGCCGCGGUAAUACGUAGGUGGCAAGCGUUGUCCGGAUUUACUGGGUGUAA
rnacentral:rRNA from 1 species